CGCCUCUUGCACUAUAUAAGAGGUCCAGCCUGCCCAGUGACUUUGUUCAACGGCCGCGGUAUCCUGACCGUGCGAAGGUAGCAUAAUCACUUGUCUUUUAAAUAAAGACUAGUAUGAAAGGCAUCACGAGAAUCCAGCUGUCUCCUAUUUCUAAUCAGUGAAACUAAUCUCCCAGUGAAAAAGCAGGGAUGACCACGCAAGACGAGAAGACCCUAUGGAGCUUUAAACUAAAUGACAUCCGCCCUCACCUAUUCAAUUUCCUGAAAAAUUACCACACGAGCGGACUGACCAUAAGUUUUUGGUUGGGGCGACCGCGGAGUAAAACCCACCCCCCGCAAUGAUACAGGCCUAGCUUUAAGUUGAGAGCUACAACUCAAAAAAUCAGCAUACUGACAUCAAUUGACCCAAUAUUUUGAUCAACGAACCAAGUUACCCUAGGGAUAACAGCGCAAUCCGCUUCGAGAGUACAUAUCGACAAGCAGGUUUACGACCUCGAUGUUGGAUCAGGGCAUCCCAGUGGUGCAGCCGCUACUAAUGGUUCGUUUGUUCAACGAUUAAAGCCCUA
rnacentral:rRNA from 1 species